ACCUGAUGAUAUGGGCAUUUACGGAGCAGGUCCCUGAAGCACUCCUAGGUCUCAAAGAAAAGUUCCCCAUCAAUUUGUGCGAAACUUGUGAUUGCCCUUCGCAGCU